AUUGAACGCUGGCGGCAUGCCUUACACACGCAAGUCGAACGGUAACAGGUCUUCGGAUGCUGACGAGUGGCGAACGGGUGAGUAAUACAUCGGAACGUGCCUAGUAGUGGGGGAUAACUACUCGAAAGAGUGGCUAAUACCGCAUGAGAUCUACGGAUGAAAGCAGGGGAUCGCAAGACCUUGUGCUACUAGAGCGGCCGAUGGCAGAUUAGGUAGUUGGUGGGAUAAAAGCUUACCAAGCCGACGAUCUGUAGCUGGUCUGAGAGGACGAUCAGCCACACUGGGACUGAGACACGGCCCAGACUCCUACGGGAGGCAGCAGUGGGGAAUUUUGGACAAUGGGCGCAAGCCUGAUCCAGCAAUGCCGCGUGCAGGAUGAAGGCCUUCGGGUUGUAAACUGCUUUUGUACGGAGCGAGAAGCCCCGGGUUAAUACCCUGGGGUCAUGACGGUACCGUAAGAAUAAGCACCGGCUAACUACGUGCCAGCCGCCGCCGUAA
rnacentral:rRNA from 1 species